CGCGCAGGCGGGUCUGCAAGUCAGAUGUGAAAUCUCAGGGCUCAACCCUGAAACUGCGUCUGAAACUGCAAAUCUAGAAUAUCGGAGGGGACAGGGGAAUUUCACGUGUAGGGGUAAAAUCCGUAGAGAUGUGAAGGAACACCGGAGGCGAAGGCGCCUGUCUGGACGAUUAUUGACGCUGAGGCGCGAAAGCGUGGGGAGCAAACA
rnacentral:rRNA from 1 species